rnacentral:rRNA from 1 species
GACGAACGCUGGCGGCGUGCUUAACACAUGCAAGUCGAACGGUAAGGCCCUUCGGGGUACACGAGUGGCGAACGGGUGAGUAACACGUGGGUGAUCUGCCCUGCACUUCGGGAUAAGCCUGGGAAACUGGGUCUAAUACCGGAUAGGACCACUGCCUGCAGGGGUGGUGGAAAGCUUUUGCGGUGUGGGAUGGGCCCGCGGCCUAUCAGCUUGUUGGUGGGGUGAUGGCCUACCAAGGCGACGACGGGUAGCCGGCCUGAGAGGGUGACCGGCCACACUGGGACUGAGAUACGGCCCAGACUCCUACGGGAGGCAGCAGUGGGGAAUAUUGCACAAUGGGCGCAAGCCUGAUGCAGCGACGCCGCGUGAGGGAUGACGGCCUUCGGGUUGUAAACCUCUUUCAGCACCGACGAAGCGCAAGUGACGGUAGGUGCAGAAGAAGGACCGGCCAACUACGUGCCAGCAGCCGCCGUAA